rnacentral:tRNA from 2 species
UGCCGGGUCGUCUAAUGGUAGGACGGUAGUCUUUGGAGCUACCUAUUAUGGUUCGAAUCCAUGCCCGGCAGCAA